rnacentral:rRNA from 1 species
AUUGAACGCUGGCGGCAGGCUUAACACAUGCAAGUCGAGCGAGCGGCGGACGGGUGAGUAAUGUCUGGGAAACUGACUGAUGGAGGGGGAUAACUACUGGAAACGGUAGCUAAUACCGCAUACCAUCAAAUGUGCCCAGCGGGGAUUUGCUAGUAGGUGGGGUAAUGGCUACCCUAGGCGACGAUCCCUCGCUGGUCUGAGAGGAUGACCAGCCACACUGGAACUGAGACACGGUCCAGACUCCUACGGGAGGCACAAGUGGUGAAUAUUGCACAAUGGGCGCAAGCCUGAUGCAGCCAUGCCGCGUGUGUGAAGAAUGCCUUCGGUUUGUAACGCACUUUCAGCGAGGAGGCGUUACUCGCAGAAGAAGCACCGGCUAACUCCGUGCCAGCAGCCGCGGUAAUAC